CCCAAUAGCCCUGAAGUUGCUUGAGGCUCUGCGGCCACUCUUUGACAACGAGCACAGCCAGCUGCAGCAGCUCUCCAUGCUCCUCUUCCGGGAGCUGAUGGAAGCGACAGAGAGGAGCAAGAGCCUAAAGCCACACGUGUACCUGAGUCUGGUGCCAUUCUACUUCAACUGGCACAAUGAGAACCAGCGUGUGGCAGAGGCCUCUUGGAGAGCACUGUUUGGUGCAGCCAAGUUCCUGAAGUGGUGGGAUCUUGAGGACUUGGUGAC